GGUUCCCUGAUGUUGGUGAUACUGCAUCAGGAACUGAAUGGAGACCCAUGAGAGGCCAUCGGUUCCUGAUGCACGGUCCUCAGCAUCUGAAGA
rfam:Gasterosteus aculeatus cont1.011240, whole genome shotgun sequence.